UGGUCCUACGGGGCGCAGCAGUGAGGAAUAUUGGUCAAUGGGCGGGAGCCUGAACCAGCCAAGUCGCGUGAGGGACGACGGUCCUAUGGAUUGUAAACCUCUUUUGUCGGGGAACAAAGGCGCCCACGGGUGGGCGGAUGAGUGUACCCGAAGAAAAAGCAUCGGCUAACUCCGUGCCAGCAGCCGCGGUAAUACGGAGGGUGCGAGCGUUACCCGGAUUUAUUGGGUUGAAAGGGUGCGUAGGCGGACGGUCAAGUCAGCGGUAAAAAUGCGGUGCUCAACGCCGUACAGCCGAUGACACUGGG
rnacentral:rRNA from 1 species